rnacentral:rRNA from 1 species
AACGAACGCUGGCGGCAUGCCUAACACAUGCAAGUCGAACGAGACCUUCGGGUCUAGUGGCGCACGGGUGCGUAACGCGUGGGAACCUGCCCUUAGGUUCGGAAUACCUCCCCGACAGGGGUGCUAAUACCGGGUAAUGUACUCGGACCACAGAUUUAUCGCCUUUGGAUGGGCACGCGUUGGAUUAGCUAGUUGGUAGGGUAAAAGCCUACCAAGGCGACGAUCCAUAGCUGGUCUGAGAGGAUGAGCAGCCACACUGGGACUGAGACACGGCCCAGACUCCUACGGGAGGCAGCAGUGGGGAAUAUUGGACAAUGGGCGAAAGCCUGAUCCAGCAAGGCCGCGUGAGUGAUGAAGGCCUUAGGGUUGUAAAGCUCUUUUACCCGGGAUGAUAAUGACAGUACCGGGAGAAUAAGCUCCGGCUAACUCCGUG